GGUUUGCAUGUCAAAUUACCCAAAAUUUGAGCUAGUGGUUGGCCAUGCUAUGGGUGGAAACAUGUUGGGAACAUGUUGGCCUAGUGAGGUAUGUAGGAAAAAAAUAAAAUAAGGGGCAUGGGCAUAAAAUAAUGAAAAGGAGUAUGAUGAAUACAAAAAAAAAUGUGUAUAGUUGUUUGUUCCCCCCCAUUGCCGUGAGCUAAAGAAAAGAAAGGAGAGAAUUUUUGUUCAUCCUUUUCUCAUCCUUUGGUCCAUCAUUGGCCAAAAAUUUUAAGGAGGAAAGAAGAAGAAAGGUGAAGAGAUUCGGCCAUGCAUGUAGCUAGGCUAAGGUAUGUUGAUGAUGUUCCAUGAGAUGCAUGCAUGUUUUAGUUGUUAGCUUGAGUUCUACCUAGCCCAUGGUCUAAAUCUUGCUAUGUGAUGGAAAUGACAUUUGACCAUGGAUGCAUCAUUCUUGGUUGAUGUUUGAUGUGGUGGUGAUGAGGCAAGAGGAUGAGUUAAAAUUCGGCCUAGGUGGAGGUUGUGUUAAUGCCAUUGCAUGCUAAAUAUGAAGUUUGUUAAUGAUGCAUGUGAUGAUGACUUGAUGAUUCUUGAACCUCCUUUUUAGCAUUUUUGUGUGAGCACAUAUGUGCAUUGGUUGCUAAAUGGAGAAGAAUCGACUAGCAAGUUGUGUGCUAAGGCCGAAUGUAACUUUGCAUGUUAAUGAGCAAUGCAUGUGUUAAAUUGAUGGAAAGGGGGAGGAUGCCUUACUAGUGUGUAUAUGUGUGUAUUAAGUGUUGAAAUCGACCCCAAAAAUAGACAUGCAUAUUCGGCCAAGGGGGAAAAAAUUAGCUAAUAUGUUGUGUUGAUGCAUGAUUUCACAUGUAUGUGACUUUGAUGUCUAAUGUAUAAAUAUGGGCUAAGUGCUUCGUGUUCAUCUUUUUGAUGCCUAAAUGAUGAAAUCAAUUUAUUUGUUUAAUUAAGCUCAAGAGCAAAGGGGAAAUAGAUCCGAUAAAGGGAAGGAAAAAGUGGUCGAAUAGUUAGCGGAAUCGUUCGACAACACCCGAGGUAAGUUCUUGAGUAAGAGAGCUUAAAUUACGAUGUGAUUAAAUCAUGUUUUAAGCAAAUUAAAAUCAUGCUCUAUGUGUGGCUAUUGAGCCGAAUGUGCAAGGAUGGUAUGUGCCUUGUGUUUGAGUUUUGCUAAUGAAAAAGAAAUACGAAUGUGCCAUGAAUUAUUGUUAGAUGUGCAUGAUUAAUUGAAUGCUGUCCGGGCUAAGUCCCGAAGGCUUUGUGCUAAGUGACUAUAUCCGGACUAAGAUCCGAAGGUAUUUGUGCGAGUUAUUAAUUCCGGGUUAAGUCCCGAAGGCCUUUGUGCGAGAUACUAAUUCCGGGUUAAGUCCCGAAGGCCUUUGUGCGAGAUACUAAUUUCGGGUUAAGUCCCGAAGGCAUUCGUGCGAGUUUUAAAAUCCGGGUUAAGUCCCGAAGGCAUUGAAUGAGUUACUAUAACCGGGCUAUGUCCUGAAGGCACUUGAACGAGGAGCUAAAUCCGGUUAAAUUCCGAAGGUACGUGAUUUUGGUAAUGAAUGAGCUUGCUGUAAAAUUCCAGCUAACACUCGAAAAACAUCCCAAUAUUGGGAUAUGUUACGUAUGUGUUAAAUUUAAUCGAGCCCUUACAAAUAAGUAUUCGCUCAGUUGAUAAACGAGCUACCGGCCUUUGGUUGAGUUGAUCUUUUGUGUAUGUACAUAAGGGUUGAUAAUGUGAAGCAAGUACGAUAUCGUAAAUUUGUGCAUAUGAAAUUAUCCGUUUAGCUAUAUGAAUGCUAUACUUUUGUUGUGCUGGAAUUCCUUGCUCAAAACUUACUAAGCAUAAAUUGCUUACAUCGUUUCAUUGCUCCUCUGUUUUAUAGAUUUGGUUCUCCAGCUAUCGGACUCGGGAUCUUGAAGUCAAAGUCGCCCACACUAUCAAAGCCCCCCCUUUUGGUACAAUUUUGGUUGAACUUCGAAAUGGCAUGUAUAGGACUACCCGUUUGUUGUGGGUCGUGGACCCUUUGGACUUGUAUAAAUUUUGGAUAGCCAUGCGAAAAUGGCUUAUAUGUGUUUGAGUAUAAUGUUAUAAUCAUUUGGUGUGGAUAUGCUUGACAAGGAUUGGCCACGGGGAUGGUUAAUCACUUUCAUAAAUUGUGCUAUGUAUGCAAAAAGGGCUAGUUGAAC
rnacentral:lncRNA from 1 species